GAGUAUAAAAUUUCUAUGACGCACAUAUUCCGUCACUGUGUUAAAACAUUAAAUAUCAAUUAUAACAUUCUUUUAUUGUUAAGUAUCUAAUCAAAACAUUUAGUUGGAGAUCGUAGAUACGGAAUUGAUCGUUAUCUUGAUGAAACGACUACGAUACGAACAGCUUUUUACGGACCGUUUCGAAGAGAUUAAUCAAUACGAAUUUCGUUUCCGCAUGUUGAACCGCGAAGUGGACGACACGAAGUGACUGAAAAAGGAAAGCAAUUCGUAAAUUGAACUCGCGCGCAGAAUGGCUCUCGAUGGCGCCUCGUCGUCGAAGAUGUUCAAGGGGCCUCGAAUCGUUCGAGGAUGAUAUGUUGUUCAGAUAUCGUUACAUUGACGAAAGUGCAAGAAAAAGAAGCUUUUUAUAGGAAAAGUGAAUUCGAAUGAAGUUUAGUGGAAGAAGAAUCAUAGAGAAAGAUAUAUUAUUGAGAUAAAAAAGAAAUAAGUUUCUUCGAUUUGAGGCGGUAACAUCCAUUCUCAACGACUUUCAAUAUUCUUGGUGGCACGACAAGGAAAUUUAGCGGAAAGUUUCUUAAUUACCUUGUUUCGCUUAUUCGAUGUUUGCAGUAUCGCUCGAGAAGGCAAUUAACAGGCGUAAUAAAAUAGAAUGGCACGAUCUUCCGCUACGGGCGUGCGAAAGAAAUAUGGAAGCGAAUUGACCGUGAUCCGCUUGGUGAAAACUCGAUGCACACGAGAGAAAUACACGAUAAUUGUUGCGUGAGAAUCGCCCGCUACCUUUCGUACAAUUACCGGCAACUUCGUUUCCGCUUCGUUGGAGGAUUCUCGUUUCUAUCACCAUUUAUCGAACCUACCCUUUCUACGAGUGAAUCCAAAGAAAUUGUUGAAAGUAAAUUUUAGUAAUUAUUUAAUGACAUUUUAAUUUUGAUAAUGUCGUUCACUUAU